rnacentral:snRNA from 1 species
AAUGUAAAUAAAUAAAUUAAUUAAUAAUUAAUAGUGUAUAGCAAAGAGAUCUCAUAGCCUUGGAGAUUUACUAUACGCAAUUAUUUAUUUUCUUCCUAUGAAAGUGUAUGCUUUCUUUCAAAUAUUAACCACCUGACAUGCUAUGAAAAAGCUGUAGGGUGUCAGUCACAAUUCAGAUUAUAAAUUAAAGAAAAUGAUAUUUUAAAGUGCUUUGAAAUAUCCCUGACACAUUUUAUUCUCAGUUGCCAUUAAUUCUUCUACCUCCUUCCAUUAGCAUCACCACUUCCCUGUUCCAAACUACUAUCAUCUCUCACUUGCACUAUUGCAUUAGACUAGGGGUCCUUAACUCCUGGGUCUUGGAUUGGUACUGGUCCGUGGCCUUUUGGAAACCAGGCCACACAGCAGGAGGUGAGCAGCUGGUGAGCAUUACUGCCUGAGCUCUGCCUCCUGUCAGAUCAGCAGUGGCAUUAAGUUCUCACAGAGUGGAAACCCUAUUGUGAACCACACACAUGAGGGAUCUAGGUUGAGUGCUCCUUAUGAGAAUCUAAUGCCUGAUUAUCCGAGGCGGAACAGUUUUAUCCCAAAACCAUCUCCCCUGGCCCACCCACCCCUGGCCCCAGUCUGUGGAAAGAUUGUCUUCCAUGAAACCAGUCCCUGGUGCCAAAAGGGUUGGGGACCACUGCCUUAGACUCAAACCUGACCUCCAUGCUAACUGUUUUCCAUGCUUCCAUUCUUAACUCAGUCUUAUUCCAUUCUCCAUGCAGCUGUCAGGGUUACUUUUCAAAACAUAAAUUGGAUCAUGUCACUACACUGCUUAAAGCCCUCCAGUGAGUUCCCUUUGGGCACUCCUCAAUAUAGCACAUAGUGCCCUAAUUCUCCAUUCUCAUCUCCUGGCUCUCUUUUCUUCCUGUGAUCCAUCACAAGAACAUUCUUUCUGUUUCCUGAAAAUGCCAAUCUAUUUCCCACCAUCAGGCCUUUUUGUAAGUGUGUCCUCUAACAGAAAUUCACGCUUUUAGGUCUGGGACUUGCUGCUGCUUUCACAUCAUUCUGGUCUUGAUAUUUCUGAUUUCCUUCUCAAAACUAGCAUCUUUCCCUCUUUCACUCCCACUUCCUGUCACCCUGUUUUAUUUUUUUCAUGGGACAUUUCACUAUCAGAAAUUAUCUUGCUCAUUUAAAGCUUUCCUUGUUUAUGGCCAAGUGUGGUGGCUCACACCACAUUUGGCAGUAAUACCAGCACUUUGGGAGGAUCCUUUGAACCCAAGAAUAAAGACCCCAUCUCUAUUAAAAAUAAAAUAUAAGUGAAUAAAUAAAUAAAUAUUUCUUUGUUUAUUAUAUCUCUUCCACUAAGCUGGGGAAGAGCAUUUUCUUUCUGUUUACUAACAACUGGAACAGUGCCUGGCACGUAGCAAGCCUUUAAUAAUUAUUUAUUGAAGCAAUAAAUGAAAAAAUUAAUUGUAAUCUAGAAUGUUAAAGCAGCCGGGCACGGUAGCUCAUGCCUGUAAUCCCACAUUUUGGGAGGCUGAGGCAGGUGGAUCACUUGAGCUCAGGAGUUUGAGAACAGCCUGGGCAACAUGGUGAAACCCUGUCUCUACUAAAAAUAGAAAAAUUAGCUGAGUGUGGUGGCGUGUACCUGUGGUCCCAGCUACUUAGGGGGCUGAGGUGGGAGGAUCACCUGAGCCCAGAAGGUGGAGUUUGCAGUGAGCCAAGAUCGCACCAUUGCACUCCAGCCUGGGCAACAGAGGGAGAUCCUUUCUCAAAAAAAAAAAAAAAGAAAAAAAGAAAGAAUGUUGAAGUAGCUCAUUUCUUCCUCCCACUAGGAAAAUAAAUGGCCAGAAUUGGCAUUCUAAUUUCUUAAGACCCCAGAGAAGGUUGAAACAGGACUAUCAGCUGUCAAAAGGUUUAAUUCUAACAUUUGUUGUUAUAUCUUCCUAUUGCCCAAUUAUGCUUUUUUUUGUCCUUUUAAAAAAAUGUGGUAAAAUAUACAUAACACGAAAGUUUCCAUUUUAGCCAUUUCAGUGACAUUAAAUACAUUCAUGUGUUCGCUUUGACGGCACAUAUACUAAAAUUGGAAUGAUACAGAGAAGAUUAGCAUGGCCCCCGUGCAAGGAUGACAUGUAAAUUCAUGAAGUGUCCCAUAUUCUUAAAGAAAAAAAAUACAUUCACAGUAUUAUGUAGCUAUCACCACUAUCCAUUUCCAGAAUUUUUUAAUCAGCCCAAACAGAAACUCUGUAUCCAUUAAACAAUAACUACCUAUUCCUCCCACUCUCCAGCCUCUGCUAACUACCAUUCUAUUGAUCGCUUCUUUGAAUUUGCCUAUUCUAGGUCCUUAUGUAAGUGAAAUCGUAUAAUAUUUUUCCUUUUAAGUCUAGCUUAUUUCCCUCAGCAUAAUAUUUUCGAGGUUUAUUCAUGUUGUAGAUGUAUCUGAAUUUCCUUCAUUUUUAAGGAUGAAUAAUAUUUCCCCAGCACUUUGGGAGGCUGAAGCAAGAGGAUUGCUUGAGCCCAGGAGUUCAAGACCAGCUUUGAGCAACAUACUGAGACCCCGGCUCUUUAAAAAAACAAAAAGAAUGAAUAAUAUCUCAUAGUAUGGAUAUACUACAUUUUGGUUAUCAAUUCACCUGGUGAUGAACACUAGGAUUAUUUCUA